rnacentral:rRNA from 1 species
GAUGAACGCUGGCGGCGUGCUUAACACAUGCAAGUCGAACGGAAAGGCUCCUGCUUGCAGGGGUACUCGAGUGGCGAACGGGUGAGUAACACGUGGGUGAUCUGCCCUGCACUUCGGGAUAAGCCUGGGAAACUGGGUCUAAUACCGGAUAGGACGAUGUUUUGGAUGCCAUUGUGGAAAGUUUUUUCGGUGUGGGAUGAGCUCGCGGCCUAUCAGCUUGUUGGUGGGGUAAUGGCCUACCAAGGCGUCGACGGGUAGCCGGCCUGAGAGGGUGUACGGCCACAUUGGGACUGAGAUAGGGCCCAGACUCCUACGGGAGGCAGCAGUGGGGAAUAUUGCACAAUGGGCGCAAGCCUGAUGCAGCGACGCCGCGUGGGGGAUGACGGCCUUCGGGUUGUAAACUCCUUUCGAUAGGGACGAAGCGAAAGUGACGGUACCUGGAGAAGAAGCACCGGCUAACUACGUG